GGAAUAUCUAAUAAUGAUACAUUCUCAUAUCAAAGAGUACCAAGAUCAGUUAAAGAAGCUCGUUUGAAUAUAAUAGCAUUUAAUGAGACUAUUGCUAUAUAAUGUUUCCUUCAAUAUACUAGUUACAUUGGAGUGUACUGGCAAAGCUCCUGAGAAUGUUACAGUUUGUCCAAUCUAAUAAUUAUUACUUUAAUAUAUCCCAUGGCUUUUUUCCAAAAAACGACUCCAAAAU